GGAAACAUGGCUAAGUGGUAGAGCACCUGUCUAGUGAGCAUGAGGCCCUGGGUUCAAACCCCAUAAUUACCA
rnacentral:tRNA from 1 species